ensembl:lncRNA
AUCACACACAAGCUCAGAGUCACACACGUGACAUCAGCAGACUUGGUCCCACCCCUGUUUAUCUCAUCACAGACUGAGAGUUCUGAAUGUCCUCAGGUUUUCACCUCAUGCGUCACAGUCAGUCACCUUGACAUCACUGGUGAGAUUCACAGGUGACCCUGAUCAAUACCAAACUCAACAAAUCAUUUGAAAGAGAUAUUGGUAUUUCCACUUCCAAAAUAAAGUUUUGAAAACAAUUUUUAUAAAUGGAAUCUGAACCUGGGUAUACGUAUAAGGAAGUUAAUAUUUUUCCUUAAUUAUCUUCCUCUUACGAUGGGAUCAGAAGAUGACCCUCCACCAGAUGGGGAGAAGUUACAGGAGCAAAUACCAGCUUUAUUUGGGGUGGUUGGAGAGGCUUGGCCCUGAGCACUUUCCCUGUCAUGUGGUAGCAGCCUAUGUGUCCUGUGAGCUGUGUGGACCCGCCCAAGCAUGUCAAGAAACUGGGCCACAGCCAAGCACACAUGCCUGAUGAGCGACAGAGGUGAUGCCAUCUGACUGCAGAGCGCAAGAGCCAAACCUUUGCACUAGUCACCCUCCUGACUCCAGGAGCAAACUAUGGCAUGCUCCUUUUUAAAGAAAGUAUGGUGAGUAUAUUUUUCUUUUGAGAAAGUGAAUUAAUCUGUGAAAUUCUUUUUUCCUCCCUGAGGUUAGAAUGGAGUGAGAUACCUAAUUGAGGGCUGAGAUCCCCAUUCCAUGUUGAUAACUCUCUCAUUAAAGCAACACUCCCUAACAGUCUUCAGAAACUCAUGGGCAAUAAGCUAUGGUGGAACUUAGAUGACCCACACACCCCAGACUACUGAAGGGCAGAAGAAAGGAACAGCAAAUGAAAAUGGAAGGCAGAGGGAGGGAGCCACACUGUGUGCCCCUGUCCCCCACAUAAAGGACAGAAUAGAUGCUGCCGGUGCCAGUGCCUGUUGACUAGUCUACCUAGUUUAUGGAGGAGACCUGUGAGGUUAAAUAUGAACCAUGGGCUGCCAUUACACAUCACACUAAAUCCUUUUCUGCUCUUUCUGUUCUGUAACUCGGCAAAUUGUAAACAUCUCUCUAGCAAGUGCCGAAGAACGUAGCAAUGAGUAUGGAGCAGGCAGCUCAGGUCGCCUGGGGACACGCCAAUAGCUGUGCUUAAUAACCGUAUUGGAAAGCCCAAUUAGGCUCCAGAAAGUUCCCUUGAACAAUCCUUGAUGCGGUGUUGACUUUCGUGCGGCCUCAGCAAUGCAAAGCACCUGCAAAAGGCUCAUUAGCUACAGGAAGUUAUCUUGUGCUGUUCAACUGCACCUGCAGCUCAGAAACUUCAGACCCCUGGCAGGUGAGCCUGUCAGCAGCGCAGGGAAAUCUUUCUUUUGCUUUCAGUUUACAAGCUUUAGCAACCCCUUCAGUCACCUGUGAAGGAACUGAAACUCCAUUGUAAGAUGCAGCCAAUUCACUCAUUUGUAAUAGUUAGGGCCACGUGCACUAUUGUAGACUUCUAAGCAUCGUAAAGCUUGGAGAAUUAGUUUCUCUACUCAUGCAUAGAAUUUUUAUGGGUUUUGCCCCACAGAUCUCGCCCUUUCCUGUGUUCCAGUGUGUAACAUCUAAAAAUAACAUGUCACAUUUACUAUCACUAUUUGUUUGAAUAUGUUUGAUUUGCCCUGCAGAGACUUUUCAGGAGGUAUUUUUCCUGGAUAUAUAAAUCAAUUCCAUUCAUAGCAAAGUGGCUUCAGAGAUGACUGCAAAGUAAAUUUUCCAUCACCCAAGCCUCUCCUUCCUUGACGCAGUAAGUGUUUACCGCGCACUAUGUGCCUGCUCUCUUUUAGACCCUGAGGUAUACCCGCAGGUAAGAGGCAAAGGUAACCCUCUCUCAUAGAAGUAGAAGACCUUCCUAAAUAAAUUAAAUGAAUAAAAUAUGUAACAAUGCAGAUGGUAAAGGUCCUGAGGUGAAUAAAUCAGGGAAGCGCAAUAGGAGCUAGGGUGUAGACUUCGGACUGUGAUUUUGAACCAGUUGGGCAGGGACUGUCUUAUGAAGGUGACACUUGAGUAAAGACUUACAGCUAUGGUGGGUGGGGAGUGGCUGGUCAGAGAGAAGAGUGAGUGGUUAUUUAUAUAUUGACUGAUUCUUUUUGGUCCUUGUAUUGCAAAGGGAGAUAAUAGUUAUACAGCAACUGGCUGUGUUUGUGACUAAAAGCCAUCGCAGUGGGUUGCAUGUUGGUGUUCCCUCAAAAUUCAUGUGGUGAAACUCUAUCCAAAUGUGAUGGUAUCUGGAGAUGGGGCCUUUCGGAAGUAUUAGGUGAUGAGGGUGGAGCCGUCAUGGGUGGGAUUAGUGCCUUAUAAGAGCUAGAGAGCUCUCACCCCUUCCUGUGAGGACACGCUAGAAGUCUGCAGUCUGCAACCUGGACGAGGGCUCUCGUGAGAACCCAACCGUGCUGGCUCCCUCAUCUCGGACCCUCGCCUCCAGAGCUGUGAGAAAUAAAUUUCUAGCAUUUAUAAGCCACCUAGACUAUGGUAAUUUGUUAUAGCAGCCUGAAUGGACUGAGACAUCGAUAAAAUUAACUAAUUGGUUUGGAGGAAUAAAACAUUGUGAAGAAAUCUCAGAAGACUUGGUUUAAAAUGGCUGUGUUUAACAGAUUUGACUGUUUUAUUUUAAAGCAUCGUUGGAUUCAGACAAAACAAAACUAUCUUAACAAUUGAUUUAACUGCAUUUCAUUUUGAGGCAAUUAUUUUUAUGGCAAGUAAGGGAAAAGUUCUCUGUAGAGAGGAAAAGUGAUGGUGUGAGGCAAUGAUCAAUAAAUGCAGAGAAAGUCUUUCUUCAAGGGCAAAUCUGACUUGAUUUUCCAGCUUCUGUUUAUCAAUCAAAUAAAUCUAACAAUUUGAAAGCUUUUCAUUUUGCAAGCCUGAUAGGAUCCACAUCUCUGAAUCUUCUGUUAAUGACUGAGAAUAUCCCUAAACUAUUUUUGUGUGUGAAAGUAAAAAUUUCCCCGAUCCCAUGUAUAUCUUGAUAACCACACAGGGAAAUCCUUCAGUGCCUAUGCGAUUAUUAUCCUGUUUUCCAAUAUGAGAAAAUAUAGGGAAAGAAGUGGUAAGAAAGCAAGGAUGCUAUAACCCUUUAGCUCAAGGGUGACAUUGUCAAAGACCCAGGAAGGGAAGAUAAGCAUCCUCGUUGUUUCCUCUGUCAGAGGGGGCUCCAGUCUGCUCUGGACUUGCAGUGGACGCAUCACAUCGGCCAACUCUUUGAAGGUCACAUGGUUUCUGCGCUCAGCAAGAGUUCAGGAAACUCUUCAAUGUGGACACAAUGAUUAAUUUAAUCUUAGAGUUCAAAGGCUGCUUCUAUUAUUUUGAGUAAGUGACAGAACAAAAGAGUGCAGUAAAAAAAAAAAAGAAAAGAAAAAAAGUGAAGGAAUGGGAUCAAGAAUCUCUGGCAAUGCACAGAAUGUUCCAGAGAAGGCUCUGCACUCAGGUUAGGCCUGACCGUGUGUAGACUCUGCCCCUGCAGACGCAUCUGUGCAUUUAAGGCCACAAAAUGUUAAGAGACACUGGCCACUUUAAAUCUCUCAUUCAAAUAUUACCAACUUCCAGCUAAGAAUUUCUCUUUUCCAUUUUCUUAGCUCCUUUUAAACACUUUCAGCAUUGGUUAUUGGUUUGGGACAAUAACAUUGAAAUGGCCUUCCUUUGUAGAGAUGUCAGGAAUCUGCCAGGAUUUUCAGGGACUUCCUGCUCUCCAGCAGUGGUUUUAAAUUUUUCCUUUGUUUUUGUAUGUUGGUUUGCUUUUAAUCCAAACUGCAUCAUGUGGCUUGUCAGCUAAAUGGGUUAUCGCUAUCUGGUGUUUUGUUCUUAAUGAUUCUCCGUGGCAUCCUUUCCAUUCUCCCUCCCCGCUCACCCGAAGUUAAUAACAGGAGAACUCUAAACAAAUGAGCCGCUAUUCCCAGGGACCGUUUCUGCCAGCAUUAGAUUAUUUUUGUAUUGUGUGAGCUUGUUGCCUAGCAGGCUUUUAUUUUCAGUAACCACAGUUUUUGUUGUUUCUUGAUUUCAUAGAUGGUAAAAAAGAAAGCAAUUUUGGAUUACAUGCAGAAAAAACUGUCUUUAAAAUCCUCAGUUACAUAGUAUAUAAUUUCCUCUAAAAUUCUUAUUGUGAAACACAGAGAGCCUUUUAAUGGAAGCAAUCACAGGUGCUUUAAUGGAAAGCCUAUAGAAAAGGGAGAUUUUAUAGGCGGAAUCGCUUCUCUUCAGACCCCUUUAAGUUCAGUGGGCGAACUAACCACAAGGCUUUGAUUUCACCCUGUGGAAAAUCAUUUUCCCCAACUGUUUAUUCGCUUGGAAAAGCCUCUAACAAUGGACAAUGACUUUUAACCAAUGGAGAGGUUUUUGGUUGAACCCUAUGAAAUAGCUGGUUUUUGCAGGUCAAAAAUGGUGGAACAUCAGUAAUUUUGUAGAAUCUAACUUAAGACUCAAAAUGAUAGAAGUUAAAAAAAAUAUAUAGAGUGACCUAGAUCCAUACAAAGACCGGGAGAAGUGGGAGAGAAGGAUCUGAAGGGUAACACAGAGCACCUGGGCAGCGGGGGUCUGAUUCUCCAUACGGGAGCUCUUGUGCAUUGGUUCAGAAUUUACUGCUGCCCGCUCUGUGGACCACGUACAGUGAGCCAGGCACUCCGCUAGCUGAUCUCCAUGUGAUCAAUGCCUGCUGUCUAGAGAUCCAUUAUUCAUGUUGUCAAUAACCUGUGAGGUAUUUUUGUCUUCAUUUUUAUGGAUGAGGGAAUCGAAGUUCCUAGAAUUGACAUAACUUUCUCAAGGCCAGACAAUAUUCGAGUCUAGUUUUGUCUGAUUCUAAAAUUUCUGCUCUGAAUCAUUGUGCCCUUUUGUCUUGUGACCAGAAAGCAGGAGAAAGUCCAGGUGCUGGGGAGUUUUGUGGGAGCUCUGCUCUUUGUAUUAUUGAGAAAGAAUCUACAUCCAACAGCAAGUUCUACAGUGUUUCUGUUUUUCAGACGACUUUUUUUCUCUGUAUGUCAGAAUUUUAAACCACCAGGUGUCAGAGUCAUGCAGAUUUUAAAAGAAAUCCUUCCAUUUCCUUCCCUACUUCAAAGAUUAGACUCUUUUAUUUACCGUUAGAGUCUGAGUUAUGAAUGCCAUUGCUUAUUUUUCUACCAAGAAUGCAUCAAAACUAGAAAAUAGCUCAGCCGUGAGAGCUAUGGAUGGAUACGAAUGGGACAUGAGGAUGCUAAGGAGGAAGGGAUCUUCCUUUCCCCUUUCUGGGUGGGAUCAAUGUCUGUUUCACUGCAGGGUCCUGAUGCACUAAGCACCUUUUAGGAGAUGGCGAGUGAUAAAUUCUCCCAAAUCACCAUAUUUCGUUUUCCAGCUUUUUUCCAGUUCAUAUUUUAAAAAAUAAAAAUGCAGAUGUUAUAAGAAGGGACACAGUGUGAAAAAAAGGGAAAGAAAAGGCUUUAAGAAAGUUUUUAAGGCCUUGAACAAAUCUAUAAUAGGUGGGUUCAGUUGUGAAGGGUUAGAUUCAGAAGCUUUCUAAGCUGUGAGAAUGCCUUGAACCUCCUGCCCCCACGCACACACAUGCCCCCUUCCUGUGUCUAAGCUUGCCCUUCACCUUGGACAUUUCACAUUGAGGAGCUUAAGCUAGAUUUAUUUUUAAUCUCUUCCCAACCAAUCCUUCUAGAACAAAUCUGGUGAAGUAGAUGCAAUGCACGCUUGAGAUGUGGGGAAGUGGCUAGGCUGCCGGCGUGAGAACCAGCGUGGAUCCGACACCCCUGGAGAAACUAAGAAUUUCCUGGAAGACUGUGGUAGAAACCAGCUCUGCUUUUCCAGGGAGUUAGAUGGUCGAUUCAUUCCUUAGACUAUUGUUUUUUCAUUGCCUACUUUAUGUCAGGCACUUUGCCAAGUGCUGUGGCUACACAGAUGGUUUCGACAUAAUUCCUACCCUCCAGGAGAAACGACAAUGGGAUUCAGACAAGUAAACUGUCAAUGACACAGUGGUGUAGGAGGCUACACAGGCUUGAGGGGGGCACGGGGUGCUCAACUGCACCAGGGGGAGUCAGAGCCAGCGUCUACUGGAAGUGCUGGAGUUACAGGGCUGUCUGUCUCGGAAACCUUAGCCCUACUGGGACAGUAUUGCCUACUGGAUGAAAAUUUAUUUAUUUAGGGCACAGUGCUUCUGGCCUGAAUGGAGUACUUUUUUUUUCCUUGUGCAAUAUUUUUGUAAUUGGUAAAAUAAAUGCAUCUUCCUCAACUGAUAUCAGACAAAUGUGAAGAGAGGUGACAUGCUGAGGGACAGCAGAAAAGGAGAAAUGAGGGGCCAGCCCAGUGGCACAGCACUUAAGGCCACACGUUCUGCUUCUUGGCGGCCCAGGAUUCACUGAUUCGGAUCCCGAGUGCGGACAUGGGACUGCUUGGCAAAAGCCAUGCUGUAGUAGGCUUCCCACAUAUAAAGUAGAGGAAGAUGGGCAUGGAUGUUAGCUCAGGGCCAGUCUUCCUCAGCAAAAAGAGGAGGAUUGGCAGCGGUUAGCUUAGGGCUAAUCUUCCUCAAAAAAAAAAAAAAGAAAAGGAGAAAUGAGUACAUCUCUAUAACUAUAAACACUUUCCAUUUAUAUGUUGUCAACCAAAGAGAGCAUAGCCAUCCAUAAGAACUGUUGUGGUCACAGGAAUUGCAUGCACCAAAGAAAGAGGGAGUUUUAGUAACUUGGUCUAAGAAUUAGUGGCCAUCUCUAGUACUUGGGGAAAAAACUCCCUGAGUCCUUCUGUUUCUCAGUGGCUAAUGAACUACUUAACAUUCUAUUUCUGCCCAGCAAGUUGGCUAUAAGGAGUGCUUACAAGGCAGUUUUCAGCAGUCAACAAUCAGAGUUAGUUAACUAUCUACCGGCGUGGGGCUAUCUCCGUGAAUGAUAUAAAUCAUCUUAGGUGGGAUUGUCCCCAUCCUCUCCCUUGGUUUCCUAAAGUGGGCUCCAAGGACGAGCUGCAUCAGGACCCCACAAGGUGCUUGGUACAGGCACAGGUCUCGGGUCUCUCUUCCAGAUCUACUGAUUGAGAAUCUCGUUAGCUAAAAACUCCAAACCUGCAUUUUUAAAAGUAAAUUUCUUAGUGAUUUUUAUGCACAACACAGCUCAGGCAGUACUGCUGUGGCAGUUUACAAUCUUAGAAUGCAAUCUGGACUAGACAUACAUAUGAAGUCAGGAAAUAGAAAUAAGGAAUACAUUUAACUCCCAAAAAUAAAUGUGGAUCAAAAGAGAGGGAAUAAUACUCAUGACAUUGCAGUCCCAGAAACCACUGAAACACAAUUGAUGUUGAGCAAAAAUGCAUGAAGACAAAGUGGUGGUUCAGAGUGUACUCUUGUUGGACCUGCUAAGAUUACCAAAAAUAUAUAUCUUUUAGCUGGACUUCAAAAGAGUUAGGCUAAAAACCACUCCUUCCCAAAUUUGUUGAAUUGUAAAACAGUUCCAUCCAUGUGACAUAGUCAUAUUCUAGACAUAUCAUAUAUAAGUGGCAGGAGGCUCAGAUAAGGUUUACCACGGUGAGGAUGGAGUUGCAGGGAUGACCUGUGAGCCGUCCAAGCACAUGUGCCUCUUCUGUGUCUAAAUAAUCCAGCAUUAGAACCCUUCUUGCUAAUAAGUGUUAAGCACAGAGAUGCCAAUUGCUGACCGUCUCAGAUCCAGGAAUUUUAGAUAAAUUUUCUGGCAGGCUUAAUUGGCUUUUGUACUAUGUGUAUCUUGUUAGUGGUAAGUUCAAGUACCAUUUCAUAGGCAUAAAUGCAAAUUUCAAACCAGAGCCAACUUUAUUCCAUGAUAAUAGCCAGGAUCUGGGGUAGGGGAGGUGUCCUCUCACAACCAAGAAAACUUACACAAAUUUUAUCCACAGCUUUACAAGAAAUUUUCUUAAUUAUUCAAGCCUAUGUUAGUGGAUUUGCAGAUUCAGAAUCUCACCUUUCCUUGGCCAUUAUUCAUCUCAUUGUGGAUGCUGAUUCCUGCCUCCCUUGCUCAGACCUCUCCCUCUUUCCUGGGUGUAAGUACCACAAUAUUCCCAGCAAUCCCUGCUAAACAAAUAAUUCCAGAUUAUGAUCCAUAUUGGUUAAAGCUAAUUUGAUGAAUGAGAUAAUUGGAACAAAAACAGAAGGUUCAAAAGUUUGCAUCAAGUUCUUAGAUUUUCACAUUGCAUAGGAAGAAAGAAAGAUUGAUGAGGAAAUGAAAAAGAGAGGAGGAGGAGAGAAUUAUGCAAAUAUGAAAAGAAAGUGAGAUUAUGCCAACUAGAAACUUCAGAUGACAGCAUCAUUUUAUAAAAGUUAAACAUAGAGGAGGAAACAUUUUUACCUAUUAUUUGGAGUAAGGUCAUUUCUUUUCCUUCUUAUUAUGGGUAGAAUUGUGUCCUCCCAAAAGAUGUUGAAAUCCUAACCCCAGUUCCUGUGAACGCGAACCUAUUUGGAAAUAGGGUCUUUGCAGAUGAUUAAAUGAACGAGAUCAUUAGGGUGGGUCCUAUCCAGUAUGACUGAUGUCUUUAUAAAAAGAGGAAAUUUGGUAACAGAAAUAGACACAGAUAGAGGAAAAGCGAUGUAAAGACACAGGGAGAACGCCAUCUGCAAUGAAGGAAUGGCUGAGGCUACCAGAAACCGGGGGAGAGGCACGGAACACAUUCUCUCUCGGAGAGCACAGAAGGAACCAGCCCUUCCAACACUUUGAUUUCUGACUUCCAGCCACCAAAACUAGGAGACAAUACAUUUUUGUUGGUUAAACCAUCCAGUUUCUGGUACUUUGUUAUGGCCACCCCAGGAAAUGAGUAUACUUCUAGAAAAUGAUAUUUAAGAAUUACAAAGAACAAAUUAGAAUAUCAUCAAGAUGUAGAAAUUUGCGUUAUGGGACAUGAGAACUUUCUGAGCAGUUUUCUGGGUUGGUAAAUGGAUUGAUA